rnacentral:rRNA from 1 species
AGCGGGACAGAUGCGCAUAGUAGCUCAGUUCACGCCGAAUCUCUUUAUCACCGCCGUGGUCACGGUUGUAAAUAACUUUUAUGCAACGCCGGGCAUUAUCCGGAUGCGUAUAGCAUUUACGAUGUCGACCAGCGCCCAGCGGAGUCUGUUCGGAUAAAAGGAUCAUGGCAAGUCCUGGAAAAAUUUAUUCACAUAAAUUUAGUAUGGACAAAGAACUUAAACAAAACCUAAACGAAAUUUUUUAAGGUUUUCUUAAUGUUUUUAUGCAUAGGUAAAGCGCACGAAAUGUACAAAUCUUACGAAAGGGUGGGGCUGCGGGACAAGUGGCAGGCAGGCGUAACACGCCCGGUUUUGGGGUGACUGUCAUCAAAUACCGGGACGGCGUUGGGGGAAAAUAGGGUAUAGAGGGGGAGGUUUAGUCUUCGUCAAAGCCGGAAUUGAACAGCGCGAUAACCGCCGCCAGCGCUUCAACUUCUUGCGGGCCGGUGGCUUCAAUUUCGAUCUGACGCCCUUUGGCGGAGUCGAGCAUUAACAGAGCGAUGACGCUGUUUGCUUCCGCUUCGGUGCCUUCGUCAUUGCGUAAUAGCACCUCGGCGUCAAACCCCUGCAUCAGUUCGAAAAGCUUCAUGGCAGGCCGGGCAUGCAUGCCCAGCUUAUUGGUGACUUCAACAGUUUGCUUUACGGUCAUGUUUUGCGUUUUUCCAGCGUGCGAUGGCGAGACUGGACAUUUUUACCGCGCGAGCGGAAGUAGUCUGCCAGCUGUUCUGCAAUAUACACCGAACGGUGUUUCCCGCCGGUACAACCGAUAGCGACGGUAAGGUAGCUGCGGUUGUUGGUCUCCAGCAUCGGUAACCAUAGCUCAAGAUAGCUGCGAGUCUGAUAGAUAAAAUUGUGAACUUCUGUGUGUCGGUCAAGAAACGCGGCUACCGGCUUAUCAAGCCCGGUCAUGGGGCGCAGUUUUGGAUCCCAGUGCGGGUUGGGCAGAAAGCGGACAUCAAACACAUAGUCCGCAUCAAUCGGGAUACCAUGUUUAAAGCCGAAGGACUCAAAUACCAUCGUCAGUUCGCGCUCGCGUUUGCCCAACAGCCGGGUACGCAGCAUCUCCGCCAGCUCAUGGACGGACAUUUCUGAAGUGUCGACGAUCAGAUCCGCACGUGAGCGUAACGGCUCCAGCAAGUCACUCUCUUUAUCGAUCGCACUCUCUAAAGAAAGAUUUUUGCUGGAAAGCGGAUGCAAACGGCGCGUGUCGCUGUAGCGGCGAAUCAAGGUAUUGCGGUCGGCAUCAAGAAACAGCAAUUGCGGCGAGAAAGCGCCAGGCAGAUUAUUCAUCGCCUGUUCAAAAAUCUCAGGUGAUUCAGGCAUAUUGCGCACAUCAAUGCUGACGGCGGCGGAAAUCUGGCGAUCGGCCAGCGUUCGCGCCAGAUCGGGCAACAGCACGACGGGGAGGUUAUCCACGCAGUAAAAUCCCAUAUCUUCCAGCGCGCGCAGAGCGACAGAUUUACCUGAUCCGGAACGCCCGCUGACGAUCAUCAGUACCAUGUA